GUUCCACAUUUGUUGGAACUCUGUGAAUCCCUCCCCUGAGUUUUCCCUAUUGGUCAAGAAUUUGUAACCGCUCCCUGAACCACCCCUGUAUAUAAUCCCCUGCACAGGAUGUUGCUUCUUUUCUGAUGUGUGUCCCAAUGAUAUACUGAUGGCAGAUCUGUUCUUAGUCAGUUACUGUCCAAUAGGUUUUGGAAAGAUACACCUGUCCUGCUGCCACCCAGUCUGGAGCACAAUGAUUAGUUGAAGAUGGAAGUUGAUGAAACCAAUACAAGAAUGAGUUUGCCUGAAAUGUUUGACUUUCACAGGAGAAUUUUGAAAGCACUGGACCAGCACUUCAAAAUGCUGUAUCAUGGGCACUGGAGCCCCUUUACAGAAAAAGUCAUCGUAUGGGCAGUUGCAGAGCUGCUGUUGUGCUAUUUCCAAUCUGUCAGAAGAGGCUGAUGCCAAAACAAAUGUGGUGAAACACAGCAGAAUAAACAUAGCUCUCUGUAAUGUGUGCAAACAGUUGCUUUAAAAACCUGAC